GGGAGUGUAGUUUAGUGGUAAAAUACUUGCCAGCAUGCCUACUGCCCUGGGUUUGAUUCCCAGCACUACCG
rnacentral:tRNA from 1 species